UACGUAGGUGUCAAGCGUUGUCCGGAUUUAUUGGGCGUAAAGCGCCCGCAGGCGGCUUGCCAAGUUCGAUGUGAAAUCUCCCGGCUCAACUGGGAGGGUGCAUCGAAAACUGGCAGGCUUGAGGCAGGGAGAGGGAUGUGGAAUUCCAGGUGUAGUGGUGAAAUGCGUAGAUAUCUGGAGGAAUACCGGUGGCGAAGGCGGCAUCCUGGGACCGACAUUGACGCUGAGGAGCGAAAGCUAGGGGAGCAAACGGGG
rnacentral:rRNA from 1 species